AAAAUAAAUAAAUAAAAAAUACAUUAAAUAUCACGGUAGUCUAGACAAAUAAAAAUUUUAAAUGCUUGGAAAUGAUUUCCCAUCAAAUUGAGUCACUUUUCCAAUGUUCGAAAACUAUCAUUCAUCUUCUCCAACUUCAUAUCAUUAUUGUUCAUCAAAACAACCCUUUUUCAUGAAGAAGAUCGUCUCUUCCAUUCAUAUCAUUCUCUUCUUCAAUUUCUCUCCAAUCCACCCUUACCAUCUUCCAUAAUUAUCCCAUUAGUCCAUCAAUCUUCGCAUGUAACUCGAUAAUGAGAGCAUAUUCCAUGGAAGUAGAGUCUUUGAAGCUCUUUGAACAGUUUCAAGAAAUUGGAUUAAAACCAGAUAAACUCUCUUUCCCUAUUGUGCUAAAGGUUUGUGGGCAUUGUUUGAUGAUUGGAGCGGGUGGGUCAUUGCAUUUGAUGUCUGUGAGGUCGGGUUUCAGUUAAGAUUUAUAUGUAAAACGAUACCAUUUUAAGAAUGUAUGCAGGAUUUGGAUUGAUCAUGUUUGCAGGACAACUGUUUGAUGAAAUGCUUGAGAGGGGUAUAGUUUCUUGGAGUUCUUGAUGGCAGCUUAUAUUCAUUGGGUUUCAUACUUUUCCUUGUGACUGAGUUUCAAAGUGGAUAUUCAUGUUUGUAGCUAAAGCUUCAUAACUUUCUUGGGGGCUGAGUUUCGAAGUGGAUAUUCAUAAUUUGGUUAGUAAAUAUUUUUUCUUAUUUUAUUACGUUUACGAUUUCAAAGUAUUAUAGUUAGAAUUUCACAACUUUCUCGUCAUUUCGCGGCCAAGGUUUUAUAACUUUCUUCGGAGCUAAGUUUCUUAGUGGAUUUUCGUGGCAUAAACACAAUAAAAUAAGAAAAAAGUUUACUAACCUAUAACCACGAAUAUCCACUUUAAAACCCAGCGACGAGGAAAACUGUGAAACCUUAGCCGCGAAAUGAAGGAGAAAGGGUGAAAUCGUUUCUCGAAAAUAAUAAAAUGAGGGAAAAAUGAGUAAUUAAUAUUUAGGGAUUUAGUCAAUGUGACACGUGUGGAAUUUAACAACUUUCACUAAUAAGAAUGUCACUUUUGACGCAAUAGUUUGACGGGAAGGGUAGUUUUAAGCUGAAAUAUAAUUUAAGGGUAUAUAUGAGCUAUUUCGGAUAGUUUAAGGAUACUUUUGACCAUUUUUCUUUUAGUCUAUGUAGCAGUGGAAAUCUAUUGGGAUGCCAUGUGGCAUCCACAUGGCAUUUAACAAUUUCCGUUAAUUAGAAGGGACUUUUGACCCAAUAGUUUGACGGGAAGGGUAGUUUUGAGCCAAAAUAUAGUUUAAGGGUAUAUAUGAGCUAUUUCAGAUAGUUUAAGGGUAUUUUUGACCCUUUUCCGUUUUUUUAUUCAAGUUAGUUUGUCAUUACCCACUAGAACUAUAAUUUUUUUUAUAAUAAAAUAUGCUUUAGGUAUUGAACAAUUUAAGUAGUCUUAAAUCAAUGUUAAGUUUAAAAAAUUAGAAAUAUAUUGUACCGUCAAUGAUUUCUUAGUGGUACAUCACACCUUAAAAUUAAUUAAUAACAAUUUUAUUUAUAUAGUAUUUCAUUUAACUAAUUAUAUGGAAUAGAAAAUUCUUUUAAAAAAAUUAUCUUCUCGGGUGGUUAUCCAUCUUGACUCAAUUACAUGAAAUAAAUAAUAAUAAUAACACAAAGCUAUAAUAGGAAAGAUUUUUUUUAUAGAGUUUUAAAUCAAACACAAAAUUAAGUGAAAAGUAGUAAGCCAAACACUUGACAUACUAAUUCCUGAAUAAUCAAUAUUUGUACCAAACAACACUGUGUGUAUUUCAAUUCACAAUUCUCAUAAAGCAGUGAUAGGUACAAAUAUAUGCCUUGGUCAAGCUUCUCCCCGAGGAAUCUAGCUGACACAAUCGUACUAUAGUAACUGCUACAAAAUAAGAACUAAAAUGCAAUAAAUAAACUACAAUUGGACUAAACAAUAAAAUGUUCUUUCCCUAACUAACUUCUUCAUCAGUUGUUCAGUAUCACUUCAUGAAUUUAGUGAACAACGACAUCACUAUCAACAAUGUCAAAAUUGCAACAUUUCUCCUCUUUAAAAGCCAUUCUUGUCCUCAAAAAAGAAAAGUUGGGAACUUGAGCUUUAUUUUAGCAAAGUCUUCCCAUGUAGCUUGUGAAUGUCCUUCCAUUGCACUAAGAUUUCAUCUACAACCAUAUUGCGCCUUUUGAUCAUCUUUCUGUCUAACACCUGAUCUGGCUCAUCACAACAGGGACUUGCAAUGUAUAGUAAAGAAAGGUGGUUAAGUACUUCAGGAAAUGCAUAGCAGGAUUAACCUAUUUAUGAAAAAAGAAGCAGUAUAAUCUUGUAUCAACUUUUUUAUAUGUUGAGCUUCCCAAGUCGCCUAGCACGAAAAGAGGGAAAAAAGUUAACACUUGAAAAAUAGAGUUUGAACAUAUUUACAUGAACAUGUCACAUACAAUAAAAAAGAUCAAGUAGGACAUGAAGUCAUACUCUUAGGUCAUCUAUAUUUUUAUUUCAAAAUAGUUCAAUUUGAUUCACUAACAUCAAGAGCUCAACUCAAGUAUGGAUUCCCACCAACCUACUAAUGUAUCCCAAACACGAGGAUGUAUGAUUGUUUUUUUUUAUGAUAGAACUAUUUAUUAACAACAAAAACAUUACAAUUCUACCUUAAUAAUAACACUUCAAGCACUUCAAUAAACAUAUUUGGGAAAUAUAUUUUCAACUAGAUAUUCUAAUAACACUUCAAGCACUUCAAUAAACAUCUUUUAAGAGAGAUGCAUACAAGAAUGCAAGCAAAUUAUGGAAAACAUAAAGAAUAAAUUAAACUAAAUAUAUAAGAAUUCUAAUUUUGAGACACUUCAACUAAAUGGAAACAAAAAAGAUUUGUUAGUAAGGUUCUAAAAAAUUCACGUUGAGUAAUGGAGCGGCGACGACCCACUGUGCAAGAUGAUGAUGGUUGCGGCACCGGUGUGAUGGAGGCGGCGCGACCUCCAAUGCGGAGGUGCGACCUGCAGAUGGUGUGGGGUAGCGCCUGUCGGGGCAAGGUGGGAUGGGCGGCGGCAGCCGGAGCAGGCUGGAUGGGCGGCAAGCGGUGGUUCAAUGAGGGAGGAGUGAGAGAGAGAGAUAUUUGACUUAGGAUUUUGAUAUUAUCCUUUUUUUCUUUUAAAGAGAAGUGUUUAAUCAGUAUUUUUUAGAAUAAUUA